rnacentral:lncRNA from 1 species
UUCACAACUAAAAUUUCCUUAUAUGUUCAUAGGGAGUUAUGUUUGGGAUCCAAAUACCAAUUCAGAAUAGGGACCACUUUCCAGCUCAAAGCAUGGAAUCGAUUGGCUUUCAAACUUAAAUGAAAUUCUGCACAUAUUUUUGCUAUACAUAGAAUCUCAAACAUUAAGCCAGGAAAUACAGUCAAGCUCAAGUGGGGAUUAGUAACGCUGACUGGACUGCUUAAUCAUACUCCAAAUUUUAGCUUUGUUUGUCUCAGUGUUUCAGAGAGCCCUUUUAGGCCAAAACUCCAAAAGGUAUUGGAACAACACCACAAAAGGUUAAUAAAACAAAGUAUGAACCUUUUUAUACUUGUAGCACCAGAAAACAUGACUUGCAGCUCAUGGAUGGUGAACUUAGGAUAUUUGCAAAAUAUGUUGAGUGUUGUCAGCACAAACGAGCUCCCUCGGGACCCUUUGUCAUCCAUCGAAUAUUUACCAUACUGGAAUCGGAAUGGCCUUCUAGUUAUCAAGACUUUAUUUGUUCCAUUGAUGACACUGCUGUAAGGAAGGAAAUAGAGAAAACAUGGUAAACAAAUUCAGACAAUGAUAUCAAGAAAGAGAGAAAUUGUGAUUUUUCCCGCAUCCUUUGUAUUUUCCGGUGAACUAAAAUAAUAUUUGAACAUGUAUCUAAAAUAAACAGAAAGUUCUGAAGGAAAAAAGGAAGGCCGACCUGAACUUGCACCAUCAGUUUAAAUGGGC